CAUGGGAAACAAAAAAGAUUCUGGUAUCUUUAAAUACUUGUUUAUAUUUUCAUUUCUAAAUGAACUAUUAUGCUGAGACCAAAUUGUGUAUGUUAUUUCUCCUGGUUUUAAUAACUUUGCAUUUACAGACUCAAAAUGUCUUCCGUCAUAGAUUGUGGCAUGUCAUCAUGGGCCUCUCUGCUCUUCACCUUCACACCACUGCAAGACUGCACCCAGCCCGCAGCUCGUAUGCUGUCUCCUCCUACUCAUCUGCUAAUUCUCGAGUCCUGUCAAGCGAAUCUCCUCCCACUUUGUUGGCUUGGCUUGUUGUGACCAAUGUGUCCUUUUAUCUGGAUCUUGCACCACCAUGGCUCUCCUGCACCAUCUCUUUGCCCCCCUGAAGUCCUUCCAGUUGAUUCAGUUGGGAGAGUUGCAGAAAUGCACCAGACCGAACCUGUCCCGGUCACACUGGCAUCGCUUCUUCAGCAUCCCUUCCCACUGGAGAGGAGAUGGCAGCGGAAAUCCCUGUAUCAACUGUGUGAACCAGCCCUUCCCACUAGAGAGAAUAUGCCAGCGGAAAUCCCUACUGUCCUUACAGUCAUGGAUGGAUUUUACUUCAGAACGCUCGGACAGACUUUUAAUGCUUUAUCAUUUUGGACUUUGAAACACAUAUGUCGGUAUCCACUUAUCUGUGGGAAACACCCCCUAAAAGAAACAAAUUAUUCUUCCACCUCCAGCAGCUAUCAACUGCCAUUAGCUCCCCAGGAAGAGACAGCACGGCAAAGCUCUUUCCCAUCCACGCAGGAGUUCUGGCUCGCUUGGUCUUGUGCAGGUCCACAGGGCUUCUGCGAGGUCUUGAUGUGGUAGCCGCGUCCUGCCCAGGAGACAGUCCUGCACUCCUGCCCGGCCUCCUUUGGCUUUAUGUUUAAAGCAUGCUAUCUGUAAACAAAUUUUCCUAAUAAGAUUGUAAAAUGUUAUGGGUUUUCUAGCUAACCACAAAGAACCACAUGAGACUGAUGAAUUACAAAUAAGUUCAAA